rnacentral:rRNA from 1 species
UGGGGAAUAUUUGGCAAUGGGCGCAAGCUUGACCAAGCAAUACCUCGUGAAGGAUGAAGGCUUUAGAGUUGUAAACUUCUUUUCUGAUUGAGGAAAUUCUGACAGUAUUUCAGGAAUAAGCAUCGGCUAACUUCGUGCCAGCAGCCGCGGUAAUACGGGGGAUGCAAGCGUUAUCCGGAUUUAUUGGGCGUAAAGCGUUCGUAGAUGGUUUUUUAAGUUUAAUGUUAAAUUCCAAAGCUUAACUUUGAUACUGCAUUAAAAACUGAAAGACUUUAGUACAAUAGGGGUAAAGGGAAUUUCCAGUGUAGCGGUGAAAUGCGUAGAUAUUGGAAAGAACGCCUAUAGCGAAAGCACUUUACUGGGUUGUUACUGAAAUUGAGGAACGAAAGCUAGGGGAGCA